GCUCAGGCCUUAUAUCUGCAGCGUGGCGCUGGCUCCGUUCUGACCAAGGUGGGAACGCCGCCUUCGGAGCAGGCAGGCUGCCCCGGCACSGCUGCCCUCCGCUACCUCCCUUCAUGUGCCUGCCGUGCCGGAGCUGGAGCAGCCCUUAGGGAUCAGCACGGAAAGCCCAUGAGGACGACGAGUAGCUUUGCACCCGUGGACGUGGGUGUCAUGGACUUUUUUCAGUCUUGUAAAACACUCAGGGAUUCUGUAAAACAGGGAAGUCUCCGGUUGGCGAAACACUUCCAACACGUUGGAAGCCUUAAUAUUUUUCUGCUUGCGCUGCUUGGACUGAAACCUUUUGGCCUCGCUCGCUCAGGGCGGGUGCUCUGUAAGGUGCCGCUUGGCCUCGGUGCUCUAUCGUCUUCCAAAACUCAAUCCCUCCGCGGAGGAAGCACCGUGUGGGCGUCCCCUUCUCACCGCCUGGGAAUCGCGGCCGUGGUGAUGCCUAAACAGGACCCGGGGCCUCCUUUUGUGACAGUAUUAUUUUUUCCGGAGCUGCUGGAGCGAGCGGCGCUGCGGCUGCUCGCGGUGUUGGGAACCGAGUGCUUCCGUCGCUUCCUCUCCGCUUCGGCAACGCCGCUGGGCCCCGUUCAUCCCUCCUCUCCGCCGUCUGUCCGUCCGUCCCUUCGCCGGGAGCCGCCUCCUAGGUCAGUGCCGGCAGGAGCUGAGGACGGGGAUGGUGCGGGAGGAAGGUGGAGGGGGGACGCAAGCGCGGGAAUCCCCGAGGUGCCCCGAUCCCCGCUGCGAGCUGCCCGAAAGCCGCUUGGGUUUUCGUUUUUCCCGGGCGGCGCAGGGUCCCCCGGCGUUGGAGCGCGGCAAAUCCCUCGUUUUCCUCGCCGGACGUGGCGGCCGUCGGAGGUCGCCCUUUUCCCUGCAGUUUUGUUCUGCUUUAACACC
rnacentral:lncRNA from 1 species